AUGAGUGAGGUUUCUCACUCAUUAAAAACCAUGGCUCAAAAGAAACUAGUUUUUUUUUUUCCAACAUCAAAAGGAAGAGGACACAAUAUUAAAAAACAGCAACAACAACAUUUAAACAAGAUAGCAAGAAGUAACAAGAAUGAUUCCUUCAAUUCCAAUGGAACACAAUUUUCCCACAUCAAUAGUGGGAGAAGGGAAAUAUGUCAGAAAUAUGGAUGGAAGGACUCCUUUCAUUUUUAUAGGGAACAAAUGUGUCCAGGGCAUCUUCUGAAUCUAUCUAAUGUUUCUUCUUGCUCCCUUUCAGAACGAAAAUGUCCUAUAGUGAAGUCAUGGAGAGAUCAUCUUUCACAUCCAAUUUCCCUUCUUUGUGCUAUUGGAAACUGUGGCCUAACUCCAGAGAAGAGAAAGCAAUCCCUAUUGGAAAUGAAGAUAAAGAGGGAUUCAGGAGUGUGCCAAGGCUAUUUUCUCAGGAGAACAUCUCUUUUAAAGUAAAGUAACAACACACUAAAGCAGCCAGUAUCAUAUUUUUGGAAUAUAAAUUAAAAAGGUCAGUACCAUAUUUUGGGAAAUUUUUUAAAAAUGGCAUCUGCUUUUUUGCUAUCACACCCUUAUUCAAAUUCACAUCGUAUAUUCUAUCCACCAAGUGGCUAAUCCAUUUAAUUUAUUCAAAAAUCUAUGUUUCUAAAAAAAUCUAUGUUUCACAUUAAUUUUGGAUGAUAUUUUUCAGAUAUAUUUCACAAGCAUUUUGGGGUUUGGGAUUUAUAUUACUUUUUUGGAAGGUCUUUGCAAAUUCCUUAAGAUCCAUGCCUCACCUGCACUUAAGUACACGUAAACACACUUUUUAAUAUUAAAAAAAAAAAUGUUGCAUCAUAAAUUUUCUCUCUUCCCCCCACCCCAACUGAGAUAGUAAGCAAUAUGACACAGAUUUUACAGGUGAGAUCAUGUAAAAUAUUUCCC
rnacentral:lncRNA from 1 species